rnacentral:rRNA from 1 species
UACGUAGGGGGCAAGCGUUGUCCGGAUUCAUUGGGCGUAAAGAGCGUGUAGGCGGCCAGGUAGGUCGGUUGUGAAAACUCGAGGCUCAACCUCGAGAUGUCGGCGGAAACCAUUUGGCUAGAGUCCGGAAGAGGAAAGUGGAAUUCCUGGUGUAGCGGUGAAAUGCGCAGAUAUCAGGAAGAACACCCGUGGCGAAGGCGGCUUUCUGGGACGGUACUGACGCUGGAGACGCGAAAGCGUGGGGAGCGAACAGG